UAUAGCUUGGUGUAAGUUUAGCAUUCUAUGUUUUGGUUGUGGGGGUAAUUUGAUGUUAGCUAUAA
rnacentral:tRNA from 1 species